UUGAACGCUGGCGGCAGGCCUAACCCAUGCAAGUCGAGCGGAUGAAGGGAGCUUGCUCCUGGAUUCAGCGGCGGACGGGUGAGUAAUGCCUAGGAAUCUGCCUGGUAGUGGGGGAUAACGUCCGGAAACGGGCGCUAAUACCGCAUACGUCCUGAGGGAGAAAGUGGGGGAUCUUCGGACCUCACGCUAUCAGAUGAGCCUAGGUCGGAUUAGCUAGUUGGUGGGGUAAAGGCCUACCAAGGCGACGAUCCGUAACUGGUCUGAGAGGAUGAUCAGUCACACUGGAACUGAGACACGGUCCAGACUCCUACGGGAGGCAGCAGUGGGGAAUAUUGGACAAUGGGCGAAAGCCUGAUCCAGCCAUGCCGCGUGUGUGAAGAAGGUCUUCGGAUUGCAAAGCACUUUAAGUUGGGAGGAAGGGCAGUAAGUUAAUACCUUGCUGUUUUGACGUUACCAACAGAAUAAGCACCGGCUAACUUCGUG
rnacentral:rRNA from 1 species